rnacentral:lncRNA from 10 species
ACCAGACCAUCUCCCGGCGCGGGUGGAAUUCCCGCGAUCUGUCUCAUUCCCUGCGCCGCCGAGAAAAGUGAGAUCCCGCGAGACUCCCAGGGGUCUCAUUCUGUCACCCAGGUUGGAGUGCAGUGGCAACAUCAUAGCUCACUGCAGCCUUGAACCCCUGGGCUCAAGUGAUCCUCCUGCUUCAGCCUCCUGAGUAGCUGGGGCUACAGGCACUUUCCCUACAUUUUCAAAGGCCUGCAUCAUCACAUCUGCCACAGCAUUCUCUAUCAUUGAGGCAUUUUCUCAGGAAAUCACCUGUGAAAUAUUUUGCAGCUAACCACCUACCUGUGCCCCACCAGCCAACAUGCUUUACUCCUGCCAGGCAGCUGUGUCACUCUGGAAGCUUUGAUCAGAAAAUUGUAGUUGCUGUUGCCUCUGAUGUGCAAGUCCAAGAUUCUUGGGCCGCAGGACAUGUUCUGCAUAUAUUCCUGGAGAAUAGACCAACAAUGAGACUGAAUCAGUAACGAAAAGUCUUCUAUGAAAGAAAAACCCAGAACCAUAUUGCUUUACUGCUUAAUUCUAAUAAACUCAUAAAGAACAACAAACACCAAUUCUUCUCAAACUAUUCCAAAAAAUUGAAGCAGGGCAGGGAGGAAUUCUUCCUAACUCAUUCUAAAAGGCCAGCAUUAUCCUGAUACCAAAACCAGACAAGGACACAGCAAAAACAGAGAACUACAGGCCAAUAUCCCUGAUGAUGCUAAAUGGAAAAAUCCUCAACAAAAUACUAGCAAAACCAAUGCAACAACACAGAAAAGAUAAUACACCAUGAUCAAAUGAGAUUUAUCCCAAGUAUGCAAUCAUGAUUCAACAUACACAAAUCAAUACUUGUGAUACAUCACAUCAACAGAGUGAAGGACCAAAAGACAUAUGAUCAUCUCAACAGAUACAGAAAAAGAUUUGAUAUGAUUCAAAAUCCCAUUAUGAUAAAAACUUUUUUUUUUUGAGACAGGGUCUCACUCUGUCACCCAGGCUGGAGUGCAGUGGCAUGAUCAUGGCUCACUGCAGCCUCGACCUCCCAGGCUUACACGAUCCUCCCACCUCAACUUUCCAAAUAGCUAGACUACAGGUGCCUGCCUGUAGUCAAGCCAUAGGUGCCAUUGCCUGGCUAAUUUUUAUAUUUUUUGUAGAGAUGGGAUUUCGCCAUGUUGUCCAGGCUGGUCUCAAAUUCUUGAGCUCAAGCAAUCUGCCCAUCUUGCCCUCCCAAAGUGAUGAGAUUAAAGGCAUAAGCCACCGCACCCAGCCUAUGAUAAAAACUUAAAUCAGGUGUACAGGAAACAUAUCUCAACAUAAUAUAGACAAUAUGUUCCAAACCCACAGCAAACAUCUUAGUGAAUGGGGAAAAGAUAAAAGUCUUUCCUCUAAGAACUGGAAGAAGAUUCGAAUGUCUACUUUCACCACUCUUAUUACCAUAGUUCAGGGAGUCCUAGUCAGAACUAUGGUAAGAGAAAAAAAUAAGGCAAGAA